rnacentral:rRNA from 1 species
AUUGAACGCUGGCGGCAGGCCUAACACAUGCAAGUCGAACGGUAACAGGGAUCAGCUUGCUGAUUCGCUGACGAGUGGCGGACGGGUGAGUAAUGUCUGGGCAACUGCCUGAUGGAGGGGGAUAACUACUGGAAACGGUAGCUAAUACCGCAUAACGUCGCAAGACCAAAGAGGGGGACCUUCGGGCCUCUUGCCAUCGGAUUUGCCCAGAUGGGAUUAGCUGGUAGGUGGGGUAACGGCUCACCUAGGCGACGAUCCCUAGCUGGUCUGAGAGGAUGACCAGCCACACUGGAACUGAGACACGGUCCAGACUCCUACGGGAGGCAGCAGUGGGGAAUAUUGCACAAUGGGCGCAAGCCUGAUGCAGCCAUGCCGCGUGUAGGAAGAAGGCCUUCGGGUUGUAAAGUACUUUCAGCGGGGAGGAAGGGAGUAAAGUUAAUACCUUUGCUCAUUGACGUUACCCGCAGAAGAAGCACCGGCUAACUCCGUG